UACCCUAUCCACCACGGCACUUCCAUCGUCGUCCCGGUAAACAUCCGCCAUUAUAAAUACCGCCGAAGCUCUCACUCCCACACGCCUAAACCGCUACACGCACGCCCCCGGCCAGAACCAAAAGCCCCUCUCCCUUUCCGCCAUUAAAAUACUCGGGCCGGAAGAAACUCCCCGAAGCACAAGUGACCGAGCUAGGCUGCUAGCUAGCGUCGUGCGUAUUGGUGCUGGUGGCGUCGGGGUUCGCGCGGCGGCCGGUGUAACCUUUGGGAGGAAGCGGGGCGGGGGAUGUACGGCGCGCCGCUGUCCAAGGACCUCAACCUGCCAGCCCAGCAGCAGCCGGCGGCGAACGGCGUGCGCACGCCGCCGCAGAUGAGCUCCCCCGGCCUGCUGCGGUACCGGUCGGCCCCGAGCGCCAUGUUCGGCGACGUGUGCGGGGAGUUCCUCCCGGCCUCCGCCGGCGCCGGCGCAGGCGCGGGGCACCGCCAUGGGAGCCCUGACCACGCCGCCGACACCGGCUUCGCCCGCUUGCUCUCCGGCCACCACCACCACCAGCACCACCCCGAGAUGAGGGACAAGCCUCCCCGCCCCGCCGCCAGCCACUUCGCCGAGGACGCCGCCAACUCCAUGGCCUCGCAGCAGCAGCUCAUGUACCAGUCGCAGCAGCAGAUGGCUGCCAUGGAGGGGCUGUUCCGCACGGCAGGCUCCGGCGGCACGGACCCCGUCGUCGCCGGCGUCGGCGGCAACGACAGCCUCCUCCGGCAGAGCAGCUCCCCCGCCGGGUUCCUCAACCAUCUGAACAUGGACAACGGCUACGGGAGCAUGCUCAGGGCGGGCAUGGCCGGCGCCGCCGGCGGGGGAGGGUACAGGAACGGCGACGCGCGGCUGAAGGGGCAGCUGAGCUUCUCGUCGCGGCAGGGGUCGGUGAUGUCGCAGAUCUCGGAGAUGGUCGGCGAGGAGAUGGGCGGCGGCAGCAGCGGCGACGACGAGGCCGGCAGCAACGGCGGUUGCUACGGCGGCAUCCCCGGGUACCCGGUGGUCGCCCCCUCCGCCGCCGCCGGCUGGGACGAGCCCUCGCCGUCCCCGUCGCCCUCGCUGCUGACGUCCGACGGCCUGUCCGGGCCGGCCGCAAAGCGGCGCCCGCGCGACGGGGGCGCCAACGGCGCGGCGCGGCAGCUGAAGCCGCAGUUCAGCCUGCCGGCCGGUAGCAAGCCUUCGCCGUCGCCGGAGAUUGCGGCCAUCGAGAAGUUCCUCCAGUUCCAGGACUCGGUGCCGUGCAAGAUCCGCGCCAAGCGCGGCUGCGCCACCCACCCCCGCAGCAUCGCCGAACGGGUGAGGAGGACGAAGAUCAGCGAGCGGAUACGGAAGCUGCAGGAGCUCGUUCCCAACAUGGAGAAGGUAACCAACCAAGCAACCAAUCAAUCAAAGCCGUACGGCACAAACGCCGAGGCCAUACCGGCACGGCCGUGGCCCUGCCGUGCCAGGGAUUUAACCCAUUGCAAACCAACACCUCCGACAUGCUGGAUCUCGCUGUCGACUACAUCAAGGAGCUCCAGAUGCAAGUGAAGGUACGUCGUAUGUAUGUAUGUAUGUAUGUAUGUAUGUAUGUAUGUAUGUAUUUAUGUUCAGAUGAUGCUACAUUUUCGCUUCCGAAGACGAGGAUAAUGAGGCCAUUUGCGUCGCUGUCUGUGCGCGUGGAAGCUCGCCGGAGAUGUUAGGAUCAGCCGGAUCUGCCCUGUGAACUGGGGCAGGGGCAACUUUAAUUAGGCCCAUAUCCAAACCACACAGGUGAUGAACGACGGCCGGGCGAGCUGCACCUGCGCGGCGGGCAGGGCGCCGAGGAACUUCGCCAGCUGACGGACCAAGCUCGCCGGCGUCCCUUCCCUUCAUUGCACAUUCGUGGGUCGCGGAACUGAAGACCAAUGGCAUGCUGUCGUCAAUCAAUCAAUCAACCAUCCCAUCAUCAAGCCGUAAACAGGAGAUGUACUACGAAAGAUCGAGUUAGUUGUAUUGUAGUACUACAUGGAGGUCAUUGAAAGCCCGCCGAGGCCACGGGCCCCAUAUGUCUGCGGCAUUUGCCUUAGCUCUGUAGCCUAGCUAGGUUCGUUCAUCAUCAGUGAAGUGUACAUACGUGGUGCCCUGCAAUAAAAUCUCACUCACACGGCUGA